rnacentral:lncRNA from 1 species
UCAUGUCUAUUUAAUGCAUCUUUUGUUAUUCUUAAAUCUGAUGCGGUCCCCUCCCACCCAACUAGAAUGUAUAAAAAUUUCAAAUCAAAUGUACAAGCUAUCAAUACAUGGGAAAUUUUUUCUCUCGCGAAACCUUAGAACAUUUUUUUAGACAUUUUCACACAUAUACGUGUUCCAUCAAUCGCACCAACACAAUCUUGAAAUUAAUU